rnacentral:rRNA from 1 species
GGGGAAUAUUGCACAAUGGGGGAAACCCUGAUGCAGCGACGCCGCGUGGAGGAAGAAGGUCUUCGGAUUGUAAACUCCUGUUGUUGAGGAAGAUAAUGACGGUACUCAACAAGGAAGUGACGGCUAACUACGUGCCAGCAGCCGCGGUAAAACGUAGGUCACAAGCGUUGUCCGGAAUUACUGGGUGUAAAGGGAGCGCAGGCGGACCGGCAAGUUGGAAGUGAAAACUAUGGGCUCAACCCAUAAAUUGCUUUCAAAACUGCUGGCCUUGAGUAGUGCAGAGGUAGGUGGAAUUCCCGGUGUAGCGGUGGAAUGCGUAGAUAUCGGGAGGAACACCAGUGGCGAAGGCGACCUACUGGGCACCAACUGACGCUGAGGCUCGAAAGCAUGGGUAGCAAACAGGAUUAGAUACCCUGGUAGUCCAUGCCGUAAACGAUGAUUACUAGGUGUUGGAGGAUUGACCCCUUCAGUGCCGCAGUUAACACAAUAAGUAAUCCACCUGGGGAGUACGACCGCAAGGUUGAAACUCAAAGGAAUUGACGGGGGCCCGCACAAGCAGUGGAGUAUGUGGUUUAAUUCGAAGCAACGCGAAGAACCUUACCAGGUCUUGACAUCCGAUGCAUAGCUUAGAGAUAAGUGAAGUCCUUCGGGACAUCGAGACAGGUGGUGCAUGGUUGUCGUCAGCUCGUGUCGUGAGAUGUUGGGUUAAGUCCCGCAACGAGCGCAACCCUUAUUGCCAGUUACUACGCAAGAGGACUCUGGCGAGACUGCCGUUGACAAAACGGAGGAAGGUGGGGAUGACGUCAAAUCAUCAUGCCCUUUAUGACCUGGGCUACACACGUACUACAAUGGCGUUUAACAAAGAGAAGCAAGACCGCGAGGUGGAGCAAAACUCAAAAACAACGUCUCAGUUCAGAUUGCAGGCUGCAACUCGCCUGCAUGAAGUCGGAAUUGCUAGUAAUCGCGGAUCAGCAUGCCGCGGUGAAUACGUUCCCG